rnacentral:rRNA from 1 species
AACAAAUAUUAAAGGCAACGCCUGCCCAGUGAACAAUUAAACGGCCGCGGUACCCUAACCGUGCAAAGGUAGCAUAAUCAUUUGUCUAUUAAUUGUAGACCCGUAUGAAAGGCAAAAUGAAGGCCUAACUGUCUCUUAUAAUAAAUCAAUUAAACUGAUCCCCUAGUAAAAAAGCUAGAAUACACACAUAAGACCAGAAGACCCUGUGAAGCUUUAACUAAACUAUUAAACCAUAUAAUAGCUACUUUCGGUUGGGGCGACCUUGGAAUAAAAAAGAACUUCCAAACAUAUGGCCAUAACCCAUACUAACUAGGCCCACAAGCCACCUAAACGACCCAGUUUUAAACUGACCAUUGAACCAAGCUACUCCAGGGAUAACAGCGCUAUCUUCUUCAAGAGCCCAUAUCAAAAAGAGGGUUUACGACCUCGAUGUUGGAUCAGGACAUCCUAAUGGUGCAGCCACUAUUAAGGGUUCGUUUGUUCAACGAUUAAUAGUCCUACGUGAUCUGAGUUCAGACCGGAGCAAUCCAGG